AGAACAAAACAUAAUUCAUAUACACACAGGAUAGGCCUGAAAGAUCAUUUUAUGUGCUUUAUAACAUAAGCUACUGUAACUUUGUCUUUCACAUAAGUAAACAGUGCCAUCUAGAGACACUCUUUAUCAGAGGAAUAACAACUACCUGGUUUGUCACAUGCAGCCCUCCCUCCCCUCCCUCCUCCCUGUUAUCUGCAUCAGUGCAGACAUCACACACCCUGCUGUACCCUGGCAAACAAAAACAAAAAAAAAACAAAACAAAAAAAAAAACUGCACAAAGACAUGUCUAUAACAACCUCUCUGAAGGUCAGAAAAGUUGACCUCCAAAAAAGGCAUUACAUGUAAUAAAUAUCUCUGCUGGCUCUCCUCACAUGAAAAGCAGUAGGUACACAAGGCAAGACCCCUUUGAAUGCCCAUUCCUCACAGCACGGCCAUUUUUUCUUUCUUUUUUUUUUUCCUUUUUCUUUUUUGGCACCCACAGGUUUCUAAGUCUAUUUUUUUAAGGAUCUUGAUGGUACAUUCUGUUUGUCCACAAUCAAAUCUGUCAAAAGCUCCUGAGCAUUAUCGAUCUACAUUUACACACUGAAAACACACAAUAACACAAGAAACUCCUAACAUGACAGGGUGACAAAGGUCCUCUCUAUGACACUAAAAAUGAGCAAUUUACAAAAAUAUUAACUGAGUCACCUGAACAUACAGUAAGUUGGUCAUUUCACCCAAUGUAAACAUAGACUGGUUGAUAAUUCUAGCCAUCAAGA